rnacentral:rRNA from 1 species
UAAUACGUAGGUGGCAAGCGUUGUCCGGAUUUACUGGGCGUAAAGGGAGCGUAGGCGGACUUUUAAGUGAGAUGUGAAAUACCCGAGCUCAACUUGGGUGCUGCAUUUCAAACUGGAAGUCUAGAGUGCAGGAGAGGAGAGUGGAAUUCCUAGUGUAGCGGUGAAAUGCGUAGAGAUUAGGAAGAACACCAGUGGCGAAGGCGACUCUCUGGACUGUAACUGACGCUGAGGCUCGAAAGCGUGGGGAGCAAACAGG